GAAUAUUGGACAAUGGGGGAAACCCUGAUCCAGCAAUGCCGCGUGAGUGAUGAAGGCCUUCGGGUUGUAAACCACUUUCAGGAGGGAAGAAAUUGACGGUACCUCCAAAAGAAGCACCGGCCAACUACGUGCCAGCAGCCGCGGUAAUACGUAGGGUGCAAGCGUUAUCCGGAAUCAUUGGGCGUAAAGAGCUCGUAGGCGGUUCAGCAAGUCGGCUGUGAAAGUUCAAGGCUCAACCUUGAAAAUGCAGUCGAUACUGCUGUGACUAGAGUCUGGUAGAGGAGAAUGGAAUUCCCGGUGUAGCGGUGGAAUGCGCAGAUAUCGGGAGGAACACCAGUAGCGAAGGCGGUUCUCUGGGCCUCGACUGACGCUGAGGAGCGAAAGCAUGGGUAGCAAAC
rnacentral:rRNA from 1 species